rnacentral:rRNA from 1 species
AGAAUCAACGCUGGCGGCGUGCCUAACACAUGCAAGUCGCACGAGAAAGGGGCUUCGGCUCUGAGUAAAGUGGCGCACGGGUGAGUAACACGUGACUAAUCUACCCUCGAGUGGGGAAUAACCUAGAGAAAUCUGGGCUAAUACCGCAUAACACUUACGAGUCAAAGCAGUAAUGCGCUUGGGGAGGAGGUCGCGGCCGAUUAGCUAGUUGGCGGGGUAAUGGCCCACCAAGGCGAUGAUCGGUA